rnacentral:rRNA from 1 species
GCGGUGGAGCAUGUGGUUUAAUUCGAAGCAACGCGAAGAACCUUACCAGGUCUUGACAUCCCCUGACAACCCGAGAGAUCGGGCGUUCCCCUUCGGGGGGACAGGGUGACAGGUGGUGCAUGGUUGUCGUCAGCUCGUGUCGUGAGAUGUUGGGUUAAGUCCCGCAACGAGCGCAACCCUUAUCCCUAGUUGCCAUCAGGUAAAGCUGGGAACUCUGGGGAGACUGCCGGUGAUAAACCGGAGGAAGGCGGGGAUGACGUCAAGUCCUCAUGGCCCUUACAUCCCGGGCUACACACGUGCUACAAUGGCAGGUACAGAGGGCUGCGAAGCCGCGAGGUGGAGCGAAUCCCAGAAAACCUGUCUCAGUCCGGAUUGAAGUCUGCAACUCGACUUCAUGAAGGCGGAAUCGCUAGUAACCGCGAAUCAGCAGGUCGCGGUGAAUACGUUCCCGGGCCUU